CGGACGGGUGAGUAAUGUCUGGGAAACUGCCUGAUGGAGGGGGAUAACUACUGGAAACGGUAGCUAAUACCGCAUAACGUCGCAAGACCAAAGAGGGGGACCUUCGGGCCUCUUGCCAUCGGAUGUGCCCAGAUGGGAUUAGCUAAUAGGUGGGGUAAAGGCUCACCUAGGCGACGAUCCCUAGCUGGUCUGAGAGGAUGACCAGCCACACUGGAACUGAGACACGGUCCAG
rnacentral:rRNA from 1 species